GUUAUAGCUCAGUGGUAGAGCACUUUGCCUUGCAAGCAUGAAGUACUGGGUUCAAUCCUCAGCACUACA
rnacentral:tRNA from 1 species